CUUCCUGGAACUGGGUCAUGGCUUGUAAACAAGCCACGGUGCCUGCUGUUGGAAAGAGGCCUUUUGAAUAUCAGCUGUGUCAGAGGUUUAUUUGUGGCUGUCAAGCUGAAGGAGUGCUAGACAUGCAAAACUGCUGCCUGCUCCCCAGAGGGGGUCCUGUGCACUGUGAUGACAUGGAGACAAGGUGAGCAUGGAGACAAGGGCUCAAGAUUGCACAGUAAUAACCUUUGGGCCUGGGCAAAAAG
rnacentral:lncRNA from 1 species